rnacentral:lncRNA from 1 species
AAAAAUAUAAACUCAAGAUUUAAUGAAAUAAGUAUUUGUGAAGAAGAGAUAAACACUUUCCUUAGCUUCUUUUUUGCUGACGCAGAACUAUACAUCAUAUAUAAGUUUUGAAGAAGUUUUACUUUAUCGUUUGAAGUGAAAAAUAUUUGAAUCUACAUUUUAAAUUGAUACAAAAAAAAUCAAAUUUCUGCUCUAUAGAUUUCCUUUCAUAAAUGAAAUCUGAAAUAUAUCCCUAACAAAUGCACCGUAU